rnacentral:rRNA from 1 species
UACGUAGGGUGCGAGCGUUAAUCGGAAUUACUGGGCGUAAAGCGUGCGCAGGCGGUUUUGUAAGCCAGAUGUGAAAUCCCCGGGCUCAACCUGGGAAUCGGCAUUUGGGACUGCAAGGCUGGAGUUUGGCAGAGGAGACUGGAAUUCCUGGUGUAGCAGUGAAAUGCGUAGAUAUCAGGAGGAAUACCGAUGGCGAAGGCAGGUCUCUGGGCCGUAACUGACGCUGGAGGAGCGAAAGCAUGGGAGCGAACAGG